rnacentral:lncRNA from 1 species
UCCUCGGGCUUCCCCUUCUGCCAGCGCGCGACCCCUCUCUACUGCUGUUCCUCGCCACUCUAUGGAUCCGGGACGCAACUCACCUAUCCACUAUUCGAGCCUCUCUGUCGCCCGCCUUCCGUUAGCGUUUCCUACCCGUCAUCUCGCUCUGCAGACGGGCCCCUCCAGCAACCGCACUUCCGCUGCCCCGGCUUUUCUACCCCCUAGACCUCCUCCUGCUGGCAACCUUACCUCGCG